rnacentral:rRNA from 1 species
UAGGGAAUAUUGCUUAAUGGGCGAAAGCCUGAAGCAGCAACGCCGCGUGCACGAUGAAGGUCUUCGGAUCGUAAAGUGCUUUUUUAGAGGAUGAGGAAGGACAGUACUCUAAGAAUAAGCCUCGGCUAACUACGUGCCAGCAGCCGCGGUAAAACGUAGGAGGCGAGCGUUAUCCGGAUUUACUGGGCGUAAAGCGUGUGCAGGUGGUUUGGUAAGUUGGAUGUGAAAGCUCCUGGCUUAACUGGGAGAGGUCGUUCAAUACUGCCAGACUUGAGAGUGAGAGAGGGAGGUGGAAUUCCGGGUGUAGUGGUGAAAUGCGUAGAUAUCCGGAGGAACACCAGUGGCGAAAGCGGCCUCCUGGCUCAUUUCUGACACUCAUACACGAAAGCUAGGGUAGCAAACGG